GGAAGUAAAAGUCGUAACAAGGUCUCCGUUGGUGAACCAGCGGAGGGAUCAUUGCUGGAACGCGCCCCAGGCGCACCCAGAAACCCUUUGUGAA
rnacentral:rRNA from 2 species